rnacentral:rRNA from 1 species
UACGGAGGGUGCGAGCGUUGUCCGGAAUCACUGGGCGUAAAGCGCGUGUAGGCGGCCCGGUAAGUCCGCUGUGAAAGUCGGGGGCUCAACCCUCGAAUGCCGGUGGAUACUGUCGGGCUAGAGUACGGAAGAGGCGAGUGGAAUUCCUGGUGUAGCGGUGAAAUGCGCAGAUAUCAGGAGGAACACCAAUUGCGAAGGCAGCUCGCUGGGACGUCACUGACGCUGAGACGCGAAAGCGUGGGGAGCAAACAGG